rnacentral:rRNA from 1 species
UACAGAGGGGGCAAGCGUUGUUCGGAAUUACUGGGCGUAAAGGGCGCGUAGGCGGCCUGUUAAGUCGAACGUGAAAUCCCCGGGCUCAACCCGGGAACUGCGUCCGAUACUGGCAGGCUUGAAUCCGGGAGAGGGAUGCGGAAUUCCAGGUGUAGCGGUGAAAUGCGUAGAUAUCUGGAGGAACACCGGUGGCGAAGGCGGCAUCCUGGACCGGCAUUGACGCUGAGGCGCGAAAGCCAGGGGGAGCAAAACGGG